UCAUAUUGCUCAGUCAUGACUCAUUUUCUUGAGUCGCUGUUUACUAGGAAACAACAGGGCACAAUCAAUUUCCUCCCUUCUCUGCAGAAAGAAUUAGAUACUUUAAGAAAGUUUAUGCAGCUGAAGUGUAAGAAUGUGCGGAACCUUAUUUCACAAUAGUCACCUGCUUCUUCACAAAGCUGAUAUACAGAGAACUGAAAACAAGACAAUCACGUACAACCACUAGAGGGCGUGAGAGAACAGAAAGAACAAAACGAGUCUAACUUUUCCUCUUUAGAAGCUGCGGAAGGUCAAGGCUGGAGCAGAAAGGGAAACACAACCAUGUUGUCUACAUAAGGAUUCCUGGCGUUUCGAGUGGAUAACCAGUUUUCUGGAGGCCAGAAGUCCAAAUUGAAGGCGCAGGCAGAACUGUCCUUCCCCGCGAAUGGCGUAGGAGAGACCCCUUCCUGGCUUUCCCCGGGUCCUGCUAGCUUCGGGCGUUCCUUGGCUCGCAUCUACGCUUCUAUGGAUGGACAUCUGGGUUGUCUGCUCUUGUGUUAUUAUAAAGAACGACGCGAUGGCCGUGUGAGGAGACCUGUAGGACUGCAGAAGCAGGCUGCCUCAGGAGCCAAGAGGACGGAUACUUUUGCCAAAGUGCAUCCUGCAGAUGAAUGGACUAGAAUGCUUGUUUCCUCCUAUCCGUCCAGCACACCUUUAUCUCUGCUAAUCUCUUAGGUAAAAAUCAGCAGCUCGCUGUAGCUUUAAUUUGCUUUUAUUAAUUAUAAAUGAGGCAGGAUAUCUUUUUCUUGUGUUUCAGUGGCAUUUUAAUUUUCUUUUUUAUGAACUGUAGAUGCCUUUUCCUAUUUUGAAAGUUUUCACAUAUUAAUAAAGUAAUAUAUGCACAUACAUAGAGUCUACUGAUUUUAUAAGACUUGUUAAAAACAAAACCAAAAACAAAACCCCAGCAAUCCCCAGCCCUCCUCUGCUAACACUUUUCCUUCCCCAGAAACAACUACUUUUAUCUUUCUUGGCCAAUCCUUUCGGUAGUUACCAUCAAGUCUUAAAUAAUAUGGUUGUAUUGAUAUUUUUUUUAUUUUUCCAUUUUAGACAUUAUCUAUUGACUUUCCACUAAGGAAGAUGAGAAUUUGAUCCUUUCCUCCUCCAUCACUAUCCCACGAGGUGUAUACACACUGCCUAUUCUCUCAUGCUCCCUAUGUAGUUACAUAGUAAUUUUGGUGAGGACAGACAACAUUAUGACCGUGUAUGCUAUUUACGGUGCACUGCCUCGUAAGUCCUACUCAUAUGUGCAAUAUAACAUAGUGGUCAAGAGCACAGAUCUGGAAGGCAGACUGCCAGGGGUC